GUGUUUGUUUGUGUGUAUGUUUCUUUGUAUGUAUGUCUUGUGUGUGUGUGUGUGUGUAUGUAUGUAUGUCUUGUGUAUGUAUGUCUUGUGUGUUUUUGUAUGUGUAUGUAUGUGUGUCUUGUGUAUGUGUCUUUGUAUGUUGUGUGUGUGUGUCAGUCUGUAUAUGUGUGUAUGUAUUUGUCUUGUCUUUGUGUGUGUCUU